rnacentral:tRNA from 1 species
GGGGAUGUAGCUCAGUGCAGAGCGCAUGCCUAGCAUGCACAAAGUCCUGGGUUCAAUCCCCAGUACCUCUA